rnacentral:misc_RNA from 1 species
AUAAACCUAGUCGUUCGCGUACAUAGGGGCAACCCUCGCGUGAUGUCAGCAAUACCUAGGUAACCCUUGAAUAAACUACCCUCGUUGCUUUGGCGGGCCGCUUUUUAGGCCAGCGGCUUCGGCUGCUGCGCGCCCGCCAGAGGACCACAACUCUUGUUUUUUAGUGAUGUCUGAGUACUAUAUAAUAGUUA